UAAUGGCAGGUCAGCAUACUGCCGUGAAUACGUUCCCGGGCCUUGUACACACCGCCCGUCACACCAUGAGAGUUGGGAAUACCCGAAGCCUGUGAGCUAACGUUAAGAGGCAGCAGUCGAAGGUAGAAUCAAUGAUUGGGGUGAAGUCGUAACAAGGUACC
rnacentral:rRNA from 1 species